GUGAGGAAUAUUGGUCAAUGGGCGAGAGCCUGAACCAGCCAAGUAGCGUGCAGGACGACGGCCCUAUGGGUUGUAAACUGCUUUUGUACGGGGAUAAAGUGAGAGACGUGUCUUUCAUUGCAGGUACCGUACGAAUAAGGACCGGCUAAUUCCGUGCCAGCAGCCGCGGUAAUACGGAAGGUCCAGGCGUUAUCCGGAUUUAUUGGGUUUAAAGGGAGCGUAGGCCGCCCGUCAAGCGUGUUGUGAAAUGUAGAUGCUCAACAUCUGAAUUGCAGCGCGAACUGUCGGGCUUGAGUGCGCACAACGCAGGCGGAAUUCGUGGUGUAGCGGUGAAAUGCUUAGAUAUCACGAAGAACCCCGAUUGCGAAGGCAGCUUGCGGGAGCGCUACUGACGCUGAAGCUCGAAAGUGCGGGUAUCGAACAGGAUUAGAAACCCCGGUAGUCC
rnacentral:rRNA from 1 species